ensembl:snRNA U6 U6 spliceosomal RNA
GUGCUUGCUUUUGCAGCGCAUAAACGAAAAUGGAAAUGAUACAAAGAAGAUUAGCAUGGCCACUGCUCUAGGAUGACAUGCAAAUUUGUGAAGCAUUCCAUAUUAUA